rnacentral:lncRNA from 1 species
CCCCACCCUGAGCAUGUUUUGACCACGGAACUAGGCAGGCUUCAAGGAGCCAGGCUUUCCUGCCUGCCAACUGAAAUUUUGCCAGUGCUGAUUUUACACAUUCCUAUUAGUUUUUAACAAGUAUUUACUUUAGUUAUUAAAUAGCAACUGCAAGGCCAUAAACUUACAGAUCAUGUGACUGGAAGUUGAUGCUAUAAUUUUCUAAGGGUCUUUAUGUAGAACCAGCUUCCUAACCUUUCAUUAACCCCUGUCCUUGGUCAACUACUGCACAAUAAUUAAUUGAGCAUUUCCUGUGUGCAAAACCCCAUAGUAGAUCCUAUAGAAGGCAUAAAAAAGUCCAAUCCUCUUCCCUUGAGCCAGGAAAGGAGGAAGCGAGUACUGUGCUGACUCCAUCAAGCCUUUUGCUGGGAACCUCUCACUGCUCAGGCCUCAUUGUUCUCUACCCCAUUAUCAUCUGCCUUCCAACCAGCAGGGACUUCUCAGUUCCAGGCAGAAGUAGUGGAAAACCUGAAGAACUGGAAUAAUUGCCUCACCUCUCCGGUUCACUUUAAUCUUGGAGUCCCUGCUGCAGGCAGAUGUGGAAAUGGUCGCCUAUUAAGCAGGAAAAAAGAAGUUAACUGAAAAGAGAUCUUCGUCCCAAUCGCUGUGAGAAGCAACUCUGACUUAGCUCCAAAGGAGUUGCCGUUGCUGCCUUUGAACCUGGCCCAGAGGUGACCCCUCUCCAGCAGGCUACAUCCUCUCUCAUGGGAUGGUAAGGCCUCAGAAACUGUGGCUGAAGGAGCGAACAAAUGAAUGGAUCCCAUGGAAAUUCUGGAAUGAAUGAAUCCCAUGGAAAUCCCGUGGGAGACUUCAAACAUGUGCAGAAGUGAACAG